GACCCUCUUCCGAUGUGGAAGAGUCAAACUACGUCUACAAAAUGUCAAUAUCAUGCUGCUGCUUCAAACCCAAAAUGGUGUUUGGAUGUAAAAUGGAAUUUUAGUUGUCGUAGUAGGCAGACUAUUAGGAAUGUAGAUCCAAUAAUUACAUGUAGACCAUGGAAUCCUGUUGCUAUGAAGAAUGUAGAUCCGUAAACGCCAUCUGAAAUAGAGAAUGAUGUUUCAAAAUAUUCUGAAGCUUGAAGUAAGGUAAAGUAUAAGCCUAGUAUAAUAGUGAUGAGUAGGGCUUGAUUUAUGUUCUUUCGUUUACCUUCUAGUAGACUGUGGUGAGCUCAUGUGAUUGAAACGCCAGAUGCUAGAAGAACUGAUGUAUUUAGUAGUGGAACUUCUAGGGGAUUUAGUGGAAUAAUUCCUGUUGGUGG